AUGCAGUCGAGGGGCAGCACAAGGUAGCUUGCUAUCUGGGUGGCGACCGGCGCACGGGUGCGUAACGCGUAUGCAACUUGCCCUAUACAGGAGGAUAACCCGUCGAAAGACGGACUAAUACUGCGUAUGCUCACAGCUUGGCAUCAAGAAGUGAGGAAAGAAAUUCGGUAUAGGAUAGGCAUGCGUCCCAUUAGCUUGUUGGCGAGGUAACGGCUCACCAAGGCGACGAUGGGUAGGGGAACUGAGAGGUUUAUCCCCCACACUGGUACUGAGACACGGACCAGACUCCUACGGGAGGCAGCAGUGAGGAAUAUUGGUCAAUGGGCGAGAGCCUGAACCAGCCAAGUCGCGUGAAGGAUGACUGUCUUAUGGAUUGUAAACUUCUUUUAUACGGGAAUAACAAGAGUCAUGUGUGACUCCCUGCAUGUACCGUAUGAAUAAGCAUCGGCUAACUCCGUGCCAGCAGCCGCGGUAAUACGGAGGAUGCGAGCGUUAUCCGGAUUUAUUGGGUUUAAAGGGUGCGUAGGCGGUUUGUUAAGUCAGCGGUGAAAUCUAGAGGCUCAACCUCGAAACUGCCGUUGAAACUGGCGAACUUGAGUGUAGAUGAGGUAGGCGGAAUUCGUGGUGUAGCGGUGAAAUGCAUAGAUAUCACGAGGAACUCCGAUUGCGAAGGCAGCUUACUAAGGUACAACUGACGCUGAAGCACGAAAGCGUGGGU
rnacentral:rRNA from 1 species